AUUGAACGCUGGCGGCAGGCCUAACACAUGCAAGUCGAACGGUAACAGGAAGAAGCUUGUUUCUUUGCUGACGAGUGGCGGACGGGUGAGUAAUGACUGGGAAACUGCCUGAUGGAGGGGGAUAACUACUGGAAACGGUAGCUAAUACCGCAUAAUGUCGCAAGACCAAAGAGGGGGACCUUCGGGCCUCUUGCCAUCGGAUGUGCCCAGAUGGGAUUAGCUAGUAGGUGGGGUAACGGCUCACCUAGGCGACGAUCCCUAGCUGGUCUGAGAGGAUGACCAGCCACACUGGAACUGAGACACGGUCCAGACUCCUACGGGAGGCAGCAGUGGGGAAUAUUGCACAAUGGGCGCAAGCCUGAUGCAGCUAUGCCGCGUGUAUGAAGAAGGCCUUCGGGUUGUAUAGUACUUUCAGCGGGGAGGAAGGGAGUAAAGUUAAUACCUUUGCUCAUUGACGUUACCCGCAGAAGAAGCACCGGCUAACUCCGUG
rnacentral:rRNA from 1 species